AAUACAACUUUCAACAACGGAUCUCUUGGCUCUCGCAUCGAUGAAGAACGCAGCGAAAUGCGAUAAGUAAUGUGAAUUGCAGAAUUCAGUGAAUCAUCGAAUCUUUGAACGCACCUUGCGCCCCUUGGUAUUCCGAGGGGCAUGCCUGCUUGAGUGUC
rnacentral:rRNA from 1 species